rnacentral:lncRNA from 1 species
UGACAUGUGUGGAGAUGAACCCCUUAGCUAGCCUUCCAUUCACCCAUUUAAAUCAAAUUCGUUUUUACAAUCUGUUCUAAUUUACAAAGUUUGUUUUGUUUUUAAAUUCGUCCAAAACCAAUCCCCCUUUGUUUUAAAGUGUCAAAUUAGUCAGUAAGUGUUUACUUUGUGUUUUUUAAGUGUUUUGAUUCAAGUUAAAACCCAAAUUCGUCCAAUUUGGUGCUUAGUGUCCAAAACUGCCCGGAUUGUGUUUUUAAGGCAGUUUUGAGUCUUUUGGUUUGUUUUGGUGUUUUAAAGUUUAGUUUUGCAUUCUUUGAGUCUAGUUUAGUGUUUCAAACUUGUUUUUACGUAGUUGAGUCAAUUCCAAGUGAUUUUGCAAUCCCUCCUAAUCCCCGGCCUAGAACGAUCCCUACUUACAUACUUGCUACAAUUGAUAAAAAGAGGGUUAAUUUGAGUGUCAACAUAAUUUCACAUCAAAUUUUGGUGGAGGUUGCUAGUCACAAUCGUGUUAAGUGAAUUCCUGGCAGGAGUAUCAUAUUGUAUCUCUAUUAUGUUGUUCAUGUAGGGAAUUAUUGAAGAAUAAUUUGGUUGCCGAUGCAUUAUCCAUCCAAUUCAAUGACUUAAGGAAAAUCUGAGGGUUAAUUAGUGCUGUUCACGAUUAAUCUGGGGUGUUAAGGUUUAUGGUUUAUUGGAAAAGCAAUUGGAAAUCGAUUUGUAUGUAAGUGUCAUGUGUGGAGAAGGACCCUCUAGUGAUAGGAGCAUAUUUAUGCGACUUAAUUGGCUUGUUCUCGUGCAUUUAUGUUAUGUUUCGUUAGCUAUUUUAGUGUUUAAAGUUACUUUUGUGUAUUUUCAGAUUCUAAAGGCAAAGUAUGCAUUUUGGAGCCUUUUGGAGCGAAAUGGAGCUUGGAAUGAUUAUCACAUGCUUGGAGCAAAAGGAAUGGAUGAAUUGAAGAAAUUAGGAUUCCUAAUCAACGAAUGAUUCCUAAUCGACGAAGGAUUCCUAAUCGACGAAGGAUUCCUAAUUGAAGAUGGAUUCCUAAUCACAUGAGGAUUCCUACUCCAACAAGGAUUCCUACUUGAAGUAGGAAAGUUAAGCCAAGGUUUCUUAUUUUGGUUUGACCUUUCCUAAUCCUAAUUGUCCCUAUGUUCCAGCAACUUUGAAGGCCUUUAAAGCAUUCUAGGACACAAAUUACACAUUCCUUGCAUAAUCCUCAUUAGUGCCGCACCUUUCCCACCUUCCCUCUUCCUUGCCGUGCAAGGAAGGGAGUUAUUUCCUGUUUCCUUGCUUGUAAACACCUUCCUAAUCUGUUUUAGGUUAGUGCCGCACCUUUUGGCUAAUUUCCCUUAAGUUUCUGACUUAAUUUCCUAUUUCUAGAAGCUUUUGACUUAAUUUUUGUUUACCAAAAGAGUCUAGGGUUUUUAAUUUCCUAAUCCUUUUAAAUAAACAUGUUUGUGCAGCCACAAACAUCUCCAUUCAGUCCCUUUCACGCCAGAAACAUCACCACUCUCUCUGCCGCACCUAUCCUUCAGCAUUCACCAUAUUUUUUGACCCAAAACCACCCUAGCCGUCCCAUACACCUAUCCCAGCCAUAAACCCAUCGUUCUACACCAUCCAUAACCCCCAAAACUCACCCAUUCGUGUGCUGCAGCAAGGAGAAAGAAAGAAGGACUCUUGGAUGCUCAAGCUUCAUCGUUGGUGCAUUCUAGGUGUAAUUCGUUUUAUGAUUUCAAUGUUUAAUUUCUUUUCCUUUCGUUUUGCUAUGAACAUGAGUGGCUGAUAGACGCAUAUUUAUGCGACUUAGUUAACUAGUUUUCUUGCAUUUACGUUAUUAGUUCUUAGUUAUUUUAGUACUUUAAGCCAUUUUCGUGUGUUUGUAGGUCCAAAGGGCUAAGGUAGCAAGAAAGUGCAUUUUGGUGCAUUUUGGAGCCGUUUUGAGCUUGGAAUGGAUUACAUAUGAUAUGAGCAAGAUGGAUGGACGAAUUUGAAGACAAAAGAGGCUAGGAACAUGCUAAAAAUCUGGUGAAACAAAUACAAGAUGCAAGAAGGGAUAAAUUUCUAGAAGGAUUGGCUAAAACUUCACUCAAAACCAUGCAUACCCCAUAAAAUUCAUCAAUGCCGU